GGGUCAGUGGUGGAAUUGGUAUACACGCGAGACUUAAAAUCUCGUCCGGUUUCCGGAUGCGGGUUCGAUUCCCGCCUGACCCA
rnacentral:tRNA from 1 species